CUUACCUCUCUCAGAACAGCAUGGCGCGACGCACGCGGAGCAGCAGGGCCUGGCACUUUGUCCUGAGCGGGGUGCGGCGCGAGGCGGACACCCGGGCGGUCGCCUUGGCCACCGGCGCGCGUGGCUGGGGCUACGACUCCGACGGGCAGCACAGUGACUCGGAUUCAGAGCCGGAGUUUUCUUCCCUCUCGCCCUCUAUCCCGAGCGCCAUCCCUGUGACCGGAGAGUCCUACUGCAACUGCGAGAACCAGAGCGAAGCGCCCUACUGCUCCAGCCUGCACGCCCUCCACCGCAUCAAGGACUGCCAGUGCGGCGAGGAGGACGAGUAUUUCGACUGGGUGUGGGACGACCUGAAUAAGUCGACGGCCACCCUGCUGACCUGCGACAACCGCAAGGUGAACUUCCACAUGGAGUACAGCUGCGGCACCGCCGCCAUCCGGGGGAACAAAGAGCUGGCAGACGGGCAGCACUUCUGGGAGAUCAAGAUGACCUCCCCGGUCUACGGCACAGACAUGAUGGUGGGAAUUGGGACGUCGGAUGUGAAUCUGGACAAGUACCGCCACACCUUCUGCAGCCUGCUGGGCAAGGACGAGGACAGCUGGGGACUCUCCUACACAGGACUACUGCAUCACAAGGGAGACAAAACAAACUUCUCUUCGAGGUUUGGCCAAGGCUCCAUCAUCGGGGUGCAUUUGGACACGUGGCAUGGGACACUCACGUUCUUCAAAAACCGCAAGUGCAUCGGGAUUGCAGCCACGAAGCUGCAGAACAAGAAGUUUUACCCCAUGGUGUGCUCGACGGCGGCCAAGAGCAGCAUGAAGGUGAUCCGUUCCUGCGCCAGCUGCACGUCCCUCCAGUAUCUCUGCUGUUACCGCCUGCGCCAGCUCCUGCCCGACUACGUGGACACGCUGGAGGUGCUGCCGUUGCCACCGGGACUCAAGCAAGUGCUACACAACAAACUGGGGUGGGUCUUGAGCAUGAACUAUAGCACGUCGAAGCCUUCCUCCUCCUCCUCAUCGGGAAGCGACUCAGAUAGCUCCUGCGGCUCAGACGCAGAGGCCUGCCAAAGGAAGAGGUGCAGGAGGACAUAAUGUCUCUGCAGAUGAACUGCUGUGAGGGAGUCGGGUGGGGUUUUGUUCCGCUGUCGGCGAGGGCUGGCCAGGCCUGAUGCACCUCUUUCUUCACGGGGACAUCCAUUUCUACUCGUUUGGAAAGAUUUCUCUUAUGCUGUUGGAAAUCUCUAGCCUAAACAUCCAUCACAUGCAUUGAAAGGACCUGUAGACUCCAAGAGGUCCCAGCUCUGUCAAACUGCAGCCAAAUAUCUGAGCUUCAUCUCCUGACUUGCUAUCAAACUUGCCGUUGGCUCUUCCUGAAGGAUCCCUCUUCUCUGCAGACUGUCAGCAGAGACAAGAUUUAAGGUGGCCUCCCGGUUUCAAAGCAGACUAGACUCCAGUCAGAUAACGGACUUGAUUCAUCAAAAGACAAAAUCAAAGACCAGCCCCCUCCUCCUAACUGUUGUGUGUUGGUUUGGUGUCUGCCAUGAACUCGUCACACCGUGGGGCACGAUGGUGCAGCAGCACGUAGGGAAACGGGCUCCUAGAGGUGUCUCUGCGUCGGAGUUGUGAAAGAGCAGUUACUUACAGGAGUUGGGCUGUUGGUGAUCUUUCUCGGGUCCCCGAUGACUUUAAUUGCUUUGCAUGUUGGCUCCUGCUACUUCUCCUGUAUCAAAGACUGUAUUAAACUGUAAUAAUGAAGGUAGAAGCUGUCUUUUGUUCCUCUCAGGGCCCUUGAAGGCAGGAAUCUGAAGGUGCUUGUCAAAACCAGCCAUGCUAGCACAGCUAAGA